GCAGCUAUAUUUGUUUGGCGUUGAAGGGAACUCAUUUAAUGAAAGUUUUAUUGCUUGUUUUCGAGCUAUAUAACAGAAAAAAAGAAGGAAAAAAGCCAGAAAACGUAACGUCUAAGCACUGACACAGGUCUGCAUAAAAUAUGGCAAAGUCAUGGCAUUAUUUAAUGGGCAAGUGAUUCAAAGUGAGCUCGGUACGUCAAGAGCAAGAGAAGUCAUAAGUAAGUUUCCAUGUUUAUUUAGUGUCAAAAAAGGGACUUCUAAACGGUAUUUGUCCAUUUUUAUCACAAUAGCAAUCCUUUUUAAAUGAAAUACACAUUGUUUUGUCUUCAAACUUCGAGUUUAUCCGCCGGAUAGUGGAUUUAAACUACCUCCGGACCUCGGAUAAAUUUA